UCCCUACGGGAGGCAGCAGUGAGGAAUAUUGGUCAAUGGGCGGGAGCCUGAACCAGCCAAGCCGCGUGAGGGAAGAAGGCACAGCGUAUUGUAAACCUCUUUUGCCAGGGAACAAAGGGGGGCACUAGUCCGCGGAUGAGGGUACCCGGAGAAAAAGCAUCGGCUAACUCCGUGCCAGCAGCCGCGGUAAUACGGAGGAUGCGAGCGUUAUCCGGAUUUAUUGGGUUUAAAGGGUGCGCAGGCGGCCUGUUAAGUCAGCGGUAAAAGUCCGGGGCUCAACCCCGGCGAGCCGUUGAAACUGGGGG
rnacentral:rRNA from 1 species